rnacentral:lncRNA from 1 species
UGUUCCAUGUCAUUGAUCCAUGGCACACACGUUUUAACCAACGAGAACAAAGCUUAUAUAAUUGUGGUUUUUCUUUUUGUUUUUCUUAUAUUUUUGCAUCAGGGUGCAUUUUGGAAUGGUAUAGUUUGUUCAAAUGAUCUCAUAUUGUGCACACGGGUGCAUAUUGGAAUGGCAAACAAUGUUGCCUAAGGGAGUUUUCAUUUUCUUUGCACGGAAAAUUCGUUUUCCAUUUUUCGGGUGCCCGAAAUGAGUUUAUUUUGUGAAGGACCUACAAUAUAUUUAUUGCAAAAUUGGACCAAAUCAAUUUUCUAAAAUACUACGCCAUAUUUAAUGCACAAUUGACCAAAUGGUUGGGUUUCAAAAGUUUUUAUCCACCUCUGGUGAAAAAGACAAAUUUCCGCCGAUUCAGUUGGAAACGGGUCAAAUUUGAACUGUGGCUGCCUCAUAGUUUGCUCUUUAUUUUUUCCAAAAAUCAUUUCUAGGUACAUAAGUAUCUAUUUAGUCAGAGAAACACCAAAAAAAUUCAAGAUUCAACCACUAGCUAGGAACGGUCAUUCCCGCAGUUUUGACCGCAUUUUGAAACGGGCAUAAAAAAUUCAAAAAAAACAAAAAAAUUGCAAAACCUUCGCAUUGUUUCAUUAUACGUGGCCAAGUUACCAGCAAAAAUAAUAGACUUGAUAUACAGCAAUUAUUUUAAAAAAGUGUUCUUAGAAACGAGCUAUCAUGUGUGGAGAUCAAUGCCUUUCAAGCCAGAUGAUCAAUCUUAUGGCCACAUUCAUGGCAUAGUUUGUUCAAAUGAUCUCAUAUUGCGCACAAGGGUGCAUAUUGGAAUGGCAAACAAUGUUUCCUAAGGGAGUUUUCAUUUUCUUUGCACGGAAAAUUCAUUUUCCAUUUUUCGAGUGCCCAAAAUGAGUUUAUUUUGUGAAGGACCUACAAUAUAUUUAUUGCAAAAUUGGACCAAAUCAAUUGUCUAAAAUACUAGGCCAUAUUUAAUUCACAAUUGAUCAAAUCAAAAGUUUUUAUCCACCUCUGGUGAAAAAGACAAAUUUCCGCCGAUUCAGGUGGAAACGGGUCAAAUUUGAAUUGUGGCUUCCUCAUAGUUUGCUCUUUAUUUUUUCCAAAAAUCAUUUCUAGGUACAUAAGUAUCUAUUUAAUCAGAGAAACACCAAAAAAAUUCCAAGAUUCAACCACUAGCUAGGAACGGUCAUUCCCGCCGUUUUGACCGCAUUUUCAAAUGGGCAAACAAAAUUCAAAAAAAUCAAAAAAUUGCAAAACUUUCGCAUUGUUUCAUUAUAUGUGGCCAAGUUACCAGGAAAAAUAAUAAACUUGAAAUACAACAAUUAUUUUUAAAAAGUGUUCUCAGAAACGAGCUAUCAUGUGUGGAGAUCAAUGCCUUUCAAGCCAGAUGAUGAAUCUUAUGGCCACAUUCAUGGCAUAGUUUGUUCAAAUGAUCUCAUAUUGUGCACAAGGGUGCAUAUUGGAAUGGAAAACAAUGUUGCCUAGGGGAGUUUUCAUUUUCUUUGCAUGGAAAAUUCGUUUUCCAUUUUUUGAGUGCCCGAAAUGAGUUUAUUUUGUGAAGGACCUACAAUAUAUUUAUUGCAAAAUUGGACCAAAUCAAUUUUCUAAAAUACUAGGCCAUAUUUAAUGCACAAUUGACCAAAUGGUUGGGUUUCAAAAGUUUUUAUCCACCUCGGGUGAAAAAGAC